rnacentral:rRNA from 1 species
ACGAACGCUGGCGGCGUGCUUAACACAUGCAAGUCGCACGGAAAGGCCCUGCUUUUGUGGGGUGCUCGAGUGGCGAACGGGUGAGUAACACGUGAGUAACCUGCCCUUGACUUUGGGAUAACUUCAGGAAACUGGGGCUAAUACCGGAUAGGAGCUCCUGCUGCAUGGUGGGGGUUGGAAAGUUUCGGCGGUUGGGGAUGGACUCGCGGCUUAUCAGCUUGUUGGUGGGGUAGUGGCUUACCAAGGCUUUGACGGGUAGCCGGCCUGAGAGGGUGACCGGCCACAUUGGGACUGAGAUACGGCCCAGACUCCUACGGGAGGCAGCAGUGGGGAAUAUUGCACAAUGGGCUGAAGCCUGAUGCAGCAACGCCGCGUGCGGGAUGACGGCCUUCGGGUUGUAAACCGCUUUCGCCUGUGACGAAGCGUGAGUGACGGUAAUGGGUAAAGAAGCACCGGCUAACUACGUG